UUAAUGUGGCUAUAAGUUAUUUUGAGACGAUUCAUAUGAUUUUCGCCAAGUGGGUGUUAAAAGUUUUAUGGGGUUUGAUGGAUAUUAUAAGUUGGGUAUCUAGCAUUUCCUUUGAUUCUCCCUAUAUUUUAUUGGCGGGUGUUAGAUAUAUUUUAUUGAUAUCGUUAUUGCGGUCGCAUCUGUCAAUAUUUUGAUACUUUUUUAGCUGCAUAUGUAUCGAUCUUUGUGUGUAUGUCUAAUAUAAGCUACGCUGUUGUUCUUCUAUUUUGCUUUAAUGGAUCAAAUGUCUAAAGAGCAAAUAGAUUAUGAAGAUGAGGAGUAUGGAGGGGGUCAGAAGAUGAUGUAUCAAGGAGGUGGAGCCAUACCUGCACUUGCAGAUGAAGAGCUGAUGGGAGAAGACGAUGAGUUUGAUGAGCUCUAUGAUGAUGUUAAUGUUGGAGAGGGUUUAUUGCGGUUUCAGCAGCCUGAAGUGCCACCUCCACAGAGUGAUCUGGAUCGGGGUAAUGGAGGUCUUCAAACUCAGAAAACUGAGGUUCCUGAACCUAGGCAGCAACCUGGGUCUUCACAAGGCCCAACUGUUACUGGGGCUUCCAUUGAAGUAAAAUUUUCUAAUUCUGGGACCCAUUUUCCUCCUCAAAAUGAGGGACAGCUGGCUGUUGACAGACCAGACGUGGGAUCUGUGAGUUAUGGAGAUGGGCCUUCUGUUUCACUGAAAGGGAAUGUUGUGGAGAUGAAUCAUGGCAUCACAAUCAGAAAUAAAGGGUUUCAAGGGUCUACAUCAGUGCCCCCAAAAGCUGGGGUCAAUCCCUCUAAUAUGCCUGGAAGAGUAGUAAAUGAGCUUGCACCUUUGCCAAAUCCUGACACUAGUGGCCCUCAGGAUGUUAUACAGAUUUCAGGUAAUCAGAUUGGUGAACAUGGAAAUGUUAAUCGUCAUAUGGUGAGUGAUAAUCAGAUCCAACCACCUAUAGAGAAUGGUGGGACUAUGCUGUUUGUGGGGGAAUUACACUGGUGGACCACUGAUGCAGAGCUUGAAAGUGUUUUAUCUCAGUAUGGAAGAGUCAAGGAGAUUAAGUUUUUUGAUGAGAGAGCUAGUGGAAAGUCCAAAGGUUAUUGUCAAGUUGAAUUCUAUGAUUCUGGUGCUGCAGCUGCUUGCAAAGAGGGAAUGACUGGUUAUGUUUUUAAUGGACGAGCAUGUGUUGUAGCUUUUGCUUCUCCACAAACGUUGAAGCAAAUGGGAGCUUCUUAUAUGAAUAAAAACCAGGGUCAGCUUCAGUCUCAGCCUCAGGGAAGGAGACCUGUGCAUGAUGGUGCAGGAAGAGGUGGUAAUAUGAAUUAUCAAGGUGGUGAUGGAGGUAGAAAUUAUGGAAGAGGUGGCUGGGGACGAGGUGGGCAGGGUGUACCAAACAGAGGUGGACCAAUGAGGGGAAGAGGAGGACCUAUGGGUGCAAAGAACAUGAUUGGAAGCAGUGCUGGGGCUGGAAGUGCUAGUGGUGGUGGGGCUUAUGGACAAGGGCUUGCAGGUCCUGGAUUUGGGGGGCCAGCUGGUGGUAUGAUGCAUGCUCAGAAUAUGAUGGGAGGAUUUGAUCCAACGUACAUGGGUCGAGGAGCUGGUUAUGGGGGGUUUCCAGGUCCUGGUUUUCCUAACAUGCUUCCUUCAUAUCCUGCUGUUAAUGCAAUGGGACUUCCUGGAGUGGCUCCUCAUAUCAACCCUGCCUUCUUUAGUCGGGGGAUGGCAGCUAAUGGGAUGGGAAUGAUGGGUUCUUCUGGAAUGGACAUACCUCAUCCGGGAAUGUGGACUGACUUGAAUAUGGGUGGAUGGGGAGGGGAGGAGCAUGGGCGGAGGACAAGGGAGUCAAGUUAUGGUGGAGAUGAUGGUGCUUCUGAAUAUGGGUAUGGAGAGGCAAAUCAUGAAAAGGGAGUAAGGUCAAGUGCAGUCUCUCGGGAAAAGGAACGGGUUUCUGAACGUGACUGGUCAGGGAGCUCUGAUAGGAGGCAUCAUGAGGAGAGAGAACCAGAUUGGGAUAGGUCUGAAAGGGAUCACCGGGAUCACAGGUACAGGGAAGAAAAAGAAAAUUACCGUGAUCAUCGACAAAGAGAACGUGACUCAGCAUAUGAAGAUGAUUGGGAUAGAGGACAGGCUUCUUCAAGGUCUCGAAACAAGUCUCGAGCAAUGCUAGAAGAAGAUUACCGGUCUCGAUCAAGGGAUGCAGAUUAUGGGAAGAGGAGACGACUACCGUCAGAGUAACUGAAUUGUGUUGUUCAUUCAUCUGUGGCAAAUCGUGCGUGACUUCAAAUUCUAUAAGUCAAUCUUAGUGUUUUACUCUGGGGUUGUUACAGUGCAUCAACAAUUGCUCUGCCUGCAUUUCAUUGGCCCAAACACAGAGUGUGACUUCUUGAAGGAAAAGGAGUGGAACGGGCAACUCUCUGUUUUCAUGAGUGGAUGUGCCUGGAGGAAGAUGUGUUUGAUGGUCUGCAUUCAUUGCUUCCUGAAAUAAUGGCUUUGGUCUGUCAAGUUUGCAAAAGAAGCCUUGACAAUUUUGCUUUGACCUUUCUUUCCUCAAUCGCCUUUAAGAUCUGUAAUUUGCUCUCUGGGAAGAAAAUGCCUAGAAAUAGUUGGGAGUCCUGAACUUGUCAAAUAUGGAAUGGAUGUUGAUUAUAUGUUUUUGAUACUUCUAAAGCACCAUUUCAUCUGUAAAGUCAAGUACAUGCAUUAGUUACCAGCAUGUAAUGGCCUUAGUCAUUGUUUAUUCGGCCAUUUGUGGCUCAUUGUGAGCUUGUAAAAGAGUUGUACUGACUUUGAGGCAUAUACUUGGUCAUAUUUGAUUUGGUGUGACCAAGGAUUUUAAUUGUGAUUAGAUACUAAGUAAUGGGCUAUUAAUACAUUGUAGCCUGUGUUGCUGUCUUACCUGUAAUUAGAUGUUGUAAUAUAUAUUAAUUUCUAUUUCCAUUAGAUUAUAAAGGAUUUUCAGAAUUUUGUAUUACAAAUUCUGUUUGUGUAAAUUUUGAGGUUUACCGGCGCAUAGGAGCCAUACAUUGGGGACUUCACUGCAUUGUAAAUGGGCUGGACCAAGAGUUUUGGUUGUUUUGGGUAUGUUUCGACAUUGAAGGCAUGAUGUUGUGCACCUUGUGCAUUUCUUUUUUCCUGUAGUAAACUUUUUAGAAGAUUGUAAAGCAUUUCACUUGUACUACUUUUAUUGUGGUUUUUUUUUUUUUUUUUUGUAUAUAUCAAGUUUCCUGGAUUGUAUGCCAGAAAAUUUUAAAAUAGGUUGGACAAUUUUCUGGUUAGUUACAAUAGGAUGUUAUAUCGUUUAUUCAAUAUGUAUUAGAUUUUUCCUGUCCUUCAAUCUCCUUGUAUCCGUGUAUGAGGAAAGACAACAUCAGUGUUCAAGAUGGCAUAUACUAAGUUACCUGCCUUCCUCUGUGUUGUUCUGAUGUUCUACUUGCUUGAUAAGGAAACUGCAAGGGUUGGGUUCACAAUAUUUCUGCCGGCUGCAUCAAUAUGUACUUAAAUGUCUUCUCUUACUUUUGGAUGGCUUCUGUAGUCUUAAACAGGUCACUUUGCAGAUAUUUUUCAAGUCUAUAUGGUUUUGAGUUUCUGUAA